AGUCGAACGCACUCUCGUUUAGAUUGAAGGAGCUUGCUCCUGAUUGAUAAACAUUUGAGUGAGUGGCGGACGGGUGAGUAACACGUGGGUAACCUGCCCUAAAGUGGGGGAUAACAUUUGGAAACAGAUGCUAAUACCGCAUAAAACCUAACACCGCAUGGUGUAGGGUUGAAAGAUGGUUUCGGCUAUCACUUUAGGAUGGACCCGCGGUGCAUUAGUUAGUUGGUGAGGUAAAGGCUCACCAAGACCGUGAUGCAUAGCCGACCUGAGAGGGUAAUCGGCCACACUGGGACUGAGACACGGCCCAGACUCCUACGGGAGGCAGCAGUAGGGAAUCUUCCACAAUGGACGAAAGUCUGAUGGAGCAACGCCGCGUGAGUGAAGAAGGUUUUCGGAUCGUAAAACUCUGUUGUUGGAGAAGAAUGUAUCUGAUAGUAACUGAUCAGGUAGUGACGGUAUCCAACCAGAAAGCCACGGCUAACUACGUGCCAGCAGCCGCGGUAAUACGUAGGUGGCAAGCGUUGUCCGGAUUUAUUGGGCGUAAAGCGAGCGCAGGCGGUUUCUUAAGUCUGAUGUGAAAGCCUUCGGCUCAACCGAAGAAGUGCAUCGGAAACUGGGAAACUUGAGUGCAGAAGAGGACAGUGGAACUCCAUGUGUAGCGGUGAAAUGCGUAGAUAUAUGGAAGAACACCAGUGGCGAAGGCGGCUGUCUGGUCUGUAACUGACGCUGAGGCUCGAAAGCAUGGGUAGCAAACAGGAUUAGAUACCCUGGUAGUCCAUGCCGUAAACGAUGAGUGCUAG
rnacentral:rRNA from 2 species